GAGAUAAGUGCUGAAAGCAUCUAAGCACGAAACUUGCCCCGAGAUGAGUUCUCCCUGAGACUUAAAGUCUCCUGAAGGAACGUUGAAGACGACGACGUUGAUAGGCCGGGUGUGUAAGCGCAGCGAUGCGUUGAGCUAACCGGUACUAAUGAACCGUGAGGCUUAACCUUACAACGCCGAAG
rnacentral:rRNA from 1 species